rnacentral:rRNA from 1 species
UACGAGGGGAGCAAGCGUUGUUCGGAAUUACUGGGCGUAAAGCGUGCGCAGGCGGUUAUGUAAGACAGAUGUGAAAUCCCCGGGCUCAACCUGGGAACUGCAUUUGUGACUGCAUAGCUAGAGUACGGUAGAGGGGGAUGGAAUUCCGCGUGUAGCAGUGAAAUGCGUAGAUAUGCGGAGGAACACCGAUGGCGAAGGCAAUCCCCUGGACCUGUACUGACGCUCAUGCACGAAAGCGUGGGGAGCAAACAGG